UGUUACAUAACUAGUCGUUUUCAUCUUUGCCCCAGUAACCUGGCAUCUCGGCGCGUGGCCUUGACACGUCCGAACACGCUUAAGUAACUUUUACCUUUCCCUCUUCUGUUUAACAAUAGAAAACCGCGAGCAUUGUGACCCCGAUCUUCCUAUACAAACAACAGCGAACGCAUCCCUUUGUUAUUCACCAACACACCCACAUACAGACACUCACCUACGGGACGCCCAUACACAGCUGAAUAACUUUUAUCCCUCUACUACUGUCCGCCAAAUGAAAACCGCGAGUGUUGUGAUCCCGAUCUUCACAUACAGUUGAUAAUGAACACAUCCCUUUAUCAUUAAGCGGCGACGCUUCUCUUGUUACUGCUGCUUCCUUGGACACUGGCUCGGCAGCAGGGUCAACAGGCCGCCUUGCUCAUGGCUGCGCUGAGCGUCAUCACAGUACUGCUGAUGUGUGGUUUGCAGACCACCGCAGCCACUCCGCCAGAGCUGGAAUCAGUGAUAUUCAAGAGAAAAUGGACAGACAGAGCAAACUUCUUUGUCAACAAAAGACCAGUAAUGAACUGGCUAAACAUAUACAAUACAUGACACAAACCAGUCAUGAUGUACAGUGCUGAGGCAUGACCAACAACAAAAAUAUGGUGAAAAUUAUGAAACAAAGUGAAUGUGAUGACAAGUGCCCACAACUUACCUGUCGUCUGCAAAGGCCAUAAUAGAAAUCCUACAACAAUAGCUAGCCAAUGAAUUCUUAACUAGCUAGUGCUGAGGAGCAGUUAUGUAUGGGGCAAGUGCAAAAACAUGGCAUAGAUUGUUUUCCUCUUCAAAGAACACAAUCUUACUGAGGUGAAAAGGCUUGUGUAUUCCAAUGGUCAGUGGUGUUAGACUAGAAAAGUGC